AUUCCAUGCAUUAGGCCUCUAGUG
rnacentral:miRNA from 1 species